AAUCUUUUCGACUGAAAUGAAAUAGAUGCACGAAAUAGGUCUAUGAGCAUUUUGUUUGCAGUGCAGGAUUUGGACUCAAACAAUACUUUGUAAUGAAGGAGAAGAUAAGCGUAUUUAUUUAUACAGCUGCUGGUAACAUGAGUCGAGAUUACAAACGUAAGGCGUUAGAAGCACACUAGCAGGCAGUGAGAGAGAGCCACAACCUUGUUCUCACUCCAUAUCUUACCCGUGAUCCAAGCUUACACCAGCACCCCAGAAUAUGGGAAAAUUCCACAUCCAAUAAUUAGUGAAAUAAAUAAAUCAGUGUUCUCCCAGCCCCUAUGCUGCCGCUGAACUCAGAUGAUUUGCUUCUGCAUUAUCUAUGCAAAUCAUUCCACAUCUGGCUCGGAGCGCUCAAUGACCUCAACUUCUUAUUUCUGUCCGUUCUUGCUGUCCACCUUUAGCCUGAUAAUGAGAAAAUGGCAGGUGAACUGUGGCUUUUGUCACUGCUCAAAAGGAAUUGUACUCAAGACUAUUUGCACCACUACAAUGAUGUAAUGACACAAUAAACUGUUGUAGUUAUGGUGCUUAAAGGGUCCCUCUAAGGUAGGGUGCAAUAGUAAAAGAAUCAUGAAACCUUAUUUUCAGUUAGUACCAGAAAGGGUGUUUUAGAAUGACACAAACAGGGUUACUCCCUAAACUGCAAAUUCUAUCAUCGAAAACCACAUAACUGAUAAUAACAAUAACUGAUCUGUAAAAAUGCUCAGAAUCAGACGCUGUCCUAAAUUGGCUAAUUUAGACUACGUUUACCAAUUCAGAUUAAGCCUUGAUUUAAAAUGUUUGGAUAAACUUUUAAAAUGAAUAUUUAAAAAAAAAAAAAAAAAGUGUUUUCAUAUUUAAUUAUAUACAUGAUAUUUUUAUAGAUUAUUUUUAAAAAAUAUUUGAAUAUUUCAAAAAUCGUAUCCAUAAAGACUAAUAUAAAGCCUUAAUUGGCUAGAACGUAGAGUGUCGUUAAUAUCCUUGUGAAAGCAACCACAACAGGUGGUUUUAAAAAAUAAAAAAUAAAUCUCCCCCAUAAAUUUGAAAGGCAGAAAAUAUUUUGUGUUAAUAUUUCAAAACAGCUAUCAUCUACAAAACAUGAGCUAACACAUUUAAUAAAAUUUAUCUCUCGUUAUCAACACAGCUAACAAUAAGUAACAAAAACUAUAAAAAAAAAAAAAAAACAGCUUUCUUGUAAUUGAUUCAAGUGAAAAUAAAUCACAGAUUUUUUUGUCAAAUGCAUUUCUGAACAGGUAGAAACUGCUACAUUCAAGUAAUGAAAAUUGAGGAGAA